UCCUCCAAAAACCAUGUGGGAAAAACUAAGGACAAACCUUAUAAUAAUAUGCCAUCGAAAACUCCUUUAAAACCCAGUGGGAAAAAUAUAAGGAGAAACCAAUAUGGCAUACAUCCACACUUGUAUUUAUAUUGUCUCAUUAAAAACCUUAUAUGAGAAACCAUCUUGGAAAACUCAUAAAGGGAAAAAGAGUACAAUAUGAAUGAUAUGAAGAUCACCAACAAGUUAUAACUUGGGAUUUUACUCCCCCUGAAUUUCGCAAACAUCAAUGUUGUCUCAUACCAAUUCCACGAAUGUGAUUCUGGAAUAUAAACGUUGGUAGAGACAUCGUGAACCUCACAAUAAUUUGUUUGCAGAUUAUCCUGUUACAUUUCUAUAAUCCAGGAGGAUAAAUAUAACUCAUAAGCAAUACAAGUGACAUUAUCUUGGUAGAUAAUGAUCUUUGAUUCCAAUGAAUCUCCACAUGAUCUCACAUGUGACCAGUCAUUCUGCGAAGUCAUGUAUAUCUUGUCAUGCUUCAAACAUAAUUAUGGCAGAAUGAAUAUAGGAAGGACUCAUUUAGAGUCUAUUCUAAAGGCUUCCGUCAUAAUACUCUUCCAUUAAAUCCAGUCUUUGAUAUGGCAUUGUUGGGAUCAGAUUAUCAGCCACUAUGAGGAUAUCACACCAUGGUCCCAUCUUGAUUUUCUCAAUGGAAUUAAUCAAGACCUUUGUGUAUUGGACAUAUUCGAGGAUAUUCCUUACACCAACCAUUAUACCUUUUAUUGGGAAUUUCACUCUCAAUAAAUUGCCAAAAAAUAUAAUGUCAGACCUGACUUACUUUGCAAUAUAUAUGAGUGCUCCGAUGGUACUCAGAUAUGGAACUUCAUGUCCAUUAUCACUUCACCAUCUCCCAUGGACUUGUGUCCCAUGUCAGGUAUAAUAUGACCAUAUGUGUCUUUGAUAAGAUAUAUCCAUAUUGAACGUUUUCAAUAUUUCGAGAUAUAUAAAGACUGGCAUACAUUUAUUCCCGAGGGAUUUUGCUAAAGCUAUAAACUUAGCAUCAUUUGGUUUGACCCAAAUAUCCGUCUCAAAAUGAUUGUGUGUAUUUAAUAUAUCUUGUAUAGACAUUGAUGAUAAGAUCAUCCACAUCAAUAAUAAGAUGUAAAUCCAAUUCAUGAUAUCUUCAUGAAUAUACAUCAACAAUCAUCAGUAUUAGAGUAAUCCUUGUCAAGGAGUAACUCACUUAGUCGGUUGUACCACACGACACUCCGACCAAAUUCAGAGUCAAAGAAUGACUUCUGAAGCUUCACACACAUGUUGCGAUUUAUCAUUGGAUUCGGAAUAUUAAGC
rnacentral:lncRNA from 1 species